rnacentral:rRNA from 1 species
UACAGAGGUCCCAAGCGUUGUUCGGAUUUAUUGGGCGUAAAGGGUGCGUAGGCGGCGGAGUAAGUUGGGUGUGAAAUCCCCGGGGCUCAACCUCGGAAUUGCAUUCAAUACUGCUUCGCUCGAGUACUGGAGAGGAGGCUGGAAUUUACGGUGUAGCAGUGAAAAUGCGUAGAUAUCGUAAGGAAGGCCGGUGGCGAAAGCGAGCCUCUGGACAGUUUACUGACGCUGAUGCACGAAGGCCAGGGGAGCAAAACGGGG